rnacentral:tRNA from 1 species
GGUUUGGCUCAGUGGGUAGAGCGUCAGCCUGUGGACUGAAAGGUCCCGGGUUCGAUUCCCGGUCAGGCCA